GGGGAAUCUUCCGCAAUGGACGAAAGUCUGACGGAGCAACGCCGCGUGAGUGAUGAAGGUCUUCGGAUUGUAAAGCUCUGUUAAUCGGGACGAAAGAGUUCUGUGUGAAUAAUGCAGAAAAGUGACGGUACCGGAAUAGAAAGCCACGGCUAACUACGUGCCAGCAGCCGCGGUAAUACGUAGGUGGCAAGCGUUGUCCGGAAUUAUUGGGCGUAAAGCGCGCGCAGGCGGCCUAUCCAGUCUGUCUUAAAAGUUCGGGGCUCAACCCCGUGAUGGGAUGGAAACUAGUAGGCUAGAGUAUCGGAGAGGAAAGCGGAAUUCCUAGUGUAGCGGUGAAAUGCGUAGAUAUUAGGAAGAACACCAGUGGCGAAGGCGGCUUUCUGGACGAAAACUGACGCUGAGGCGCGAAAGCCAGGGGAGCGAACGGGAUUAGAUACCCCGGUAGUCCUGGCCGUAAACGAUGGGUACUAGGUGUAGGAGGUAUCGACCCCUUCUGUGCCGGAGUUAACGCAAUAAGUACCCCGCCUGGGGAGUACGGUCGCAAGGCUG
rnacentral:rRNA from 1 species